UACGGGGGGGGCAAGCGUUGUUCGGAAUUACUGGGCGUAAAGGGCUCGUAGGCGGCCAACUAAGUCAAACGUGAAAUCCCUCGGCUCAACCGGGGAACUGCGUCUGAUACUGGGUGGCUUGAAUCCGGGAGAGGGAUGCGGAAUUCCAGGUGUAGCGGUGAAAUGCGUAGAUAUCUGGAGGAACACCGGUGGCGAAGGCGGCAUCCUGGACCAACACUGACACUGAGGAGCGAAAGCCAGGGGAGCAAACGGG
rnacentral:rRNA from 1 species